rnacentral:rRNA from 1 species
UUGUCAGCCGCCGCGGUAAUACCAGCUCCCCGACUGGUCGGGACGAUUAUUGGGCCUAAAGCGUCCGUAGCCGGCCCUGUAUGUGGUCCGUUAAAUCCAGCGGCUCAACCGCUGGACUGCGGAUCAUACUACAGGGCUAGGGGGCGGGAGAGGCCGGGGGUACUCCGCGGGUAGGGGUAAAAUCCGCUGAUCCGCGGAAGACCACCAGUGGCGAAGGCGCCGGCCAGAACGCGCCCGACGGUGAGGGACGAAAGCCAGGGGAGCGAACCGGAUUAGAUACCCGGGUAGUCC